rnacentral:rRNA from 1 species
UGGAUGACGGUACCGGAAGAAGAAGCACGGGCUAACUACGUGCCAGCAGCCGCGGUAAUACGUAGGGUGCGAGCGUUAAUCGGAAUUACUGGGCGUAAAGCGUGCGCAGGCGGUUUCGUAAGACAGAUGUGAAAUCCCCGGGCUUAACCUGGGAACUGCGUUUGUGACUGCGAGACUUGAGUGCGGCAGAGGGGGGUGGAAUUCCACGUGUAGCAGUGANAAUGCGUAGAGAUGUGGAGGNAACACCGAUGGCGAAGGCAGCCCCCUGGGUCGACACUGACGCUCAUGCACGAAAGCGUGGGGAGCAAACAGGAUUAGAUACCCUGGUAGUCCACGCCCUAAACGAUNGCGAACUAGGUGUNUGGGGAAGGAGACUUUCUUUAGUACCGUAGCUAACGCGUGAAGUUCGCCGCCUGGGGAGUACGGUCGCAAGAUUAAAACUCAAAGGAAUUGACGGGGACCCGCACAAGCGGUGGAUGAUGUGGAUUAAUUCGAUGCAACGCGAAAAACCUUACCUACCCUUGACAUGCCCGGUACCCUGCUGAGAGGCGGGGGUGCCCGAAAGGGAAUCGGGACACAGGUGCUGCAUGGUCUGUCGUCAGCUCGNG